rnacentral:tRNA from 1 species
GGUUAUGGCUCAGUGGUAGAGCACUCACCUAGCAAAUGCAAGGCCCUGAGUUCGAUCCUCAGCACCA